GAACAAUCCAGUGGAGUCUAAACAUUCCUCUCCUCAGAUCUUAUCAUUAAGAGAAAGUUUGACAAAGAGGAAUACAAUUUUAUUAGAUUUUUAGAAUUUAUCUUUCUCUACUAUGUAGAAAUACAUGUGUGAUACGGAAGCUCAAAAGAGAACUUUUCAGUUUCAGACAGCAGCAGAGAGAGAUGCAGAGAUAUUGCAGAGAUGCUCACUUCAGUUUUUUUGGCAAAGAACAACAGGCCCCUCCCACGACAGUUUGAUUGACAGUAGCGUUUCAGCACAGACUGGACUGGCGUUUUACCUUAGACCCACCCUGAGUGAGCUGUCAUCAGUCCACCAUUGUUUGACCGCCGGAGCAGAUGUAGACAAGAAUGUCUUCUAAGCGAUUGAGGUGUUCUACUGUUGGAUGUAAUAAUGAACAUAGCAGUCGUCAUUUUCUCCUGACAUUUGAGCUGCUGAAGACACAGUGGAUUACAUUUUGUGCCCCCGAUCUACCUAAAGACAUCUAUCUUUGCGUGAAUCAAUCGUGAUCCUGCUUCACCAACAGAAAAAGCAGCCCAAAUGGCUCUGAUGGCUCUUGAAUGCACCUUUCCUAAAGCUCCAGAAAACACCUGAUUCUGUUGAAGAAAACUGUCAAAGGUUUUGGAUUGGGAAAAGCAGUUACCAGUGUGCAUGAGGUGAUUUCUCAGUAACAGCGGGACCCCUGUGGAGAGGGUGAGCAGCUUCAAGUACUUUGGUGUAAACAUCUCAGAGGACCUGACUUGGACUACCCACAUUCAAACACAGGUUAAUAAAGCCAGGCAAAGAC
ensembl:lncRNA